UGGGGAAUUUUGGACAAUGGGCGCAAGCCUGAUCCAGCCAUGCCGCGUGCGGGAAGAAGGCCUUCGGGUUGUAAACCGCUUUUGUCAGGGAAGAAAUCUUCUGAGUUAAUACCUCGGGAGGAUGACGGUACCUGAAGAAUAAGCACCGGCUAACUACGUGCCAGCAGCCGCGGUAAUACGUAGGGUGCAAGCGUUAAUCGGAAUUACUGGGCGUAAAGCGUGCGCAGGCGGUUUUGUAAGACAGAGGUGAAAUCCCCGGGCUCAACCUGGGAACUGCCUUUGUGACUGCAAGGCUUGAGUGCGGCAGAGGGGGAUGGAAUUCCGCGUGUAGCAGUGAAAUGCGUAGAUAUGCGGAGGAACACCGAUGGCGAAGGCAAUCCCCUGGGCCUGCACUGACGCUCAUGCACGAAAGCGUGGGGAGCAAACAGGAUUAGAUACCCUGGUAGUCCACGCCCUAAACGAUGUCAACUGGUUGUUGGGAAGGUUCCUUCUCAGUAACGUAGCUAACGCGUGAAGUUGACCGCCUGGGGAGUACGGCCGCAAGGUUGAAACUUAAAGG
rnacentral:rRNA from 1 species